CAAUAGCGUAUAUUAAAGUUGUUGCAGUUAAAAAGCUCGUAGUUGGACUUCAAGAAGCGCAUCUGGGCAACCAGUUUGCCUUCUACCAGCCCUAGGCUGUUACUGUGAGAAAAUUAGAGUGUUUCAAGCAGGCUUUUGCAGGAAUACAUUAGCAUGGAAUAACGAAUGUGUCUACAAUUUGGUUGAUUGUAGGUUACAAUUAAUAGGGACAGUUGGGGGCAUUAGUAUUUAAUAGUCAGAGGUGAAAUUCUUGGAUUUGUUAAAGACUAACGUAUGCGAAAGCAUUUGCCAAGGAUGUUUUCAUUAA
rnacentral:rRNA from 1 species